CCUACGGGUGGCAGCAGUGGGGAAUAUUGGACAAUGGGCGAAAGCCUGAUCCAGCCAUGCCGCGUGUGUGAAGAAGGCCUUCGGGUUGUAAAGCACUUUCAGUGGGGAAGAAAGCCUUGGGGCUAAUACCCUCGAGGAAGGACAUCACCCACAGAAGAAGCACCGGCUAACUCCGUGCCAACAGCCGCGGUAAUACGGAGGGUGCGAGCGUUAAUCGGAAUUACUGGGCGUAAAGCGCGCGUAGGCGGUCUGAUAAGCCGGUUGUGAAAGCCCCGGGCUCAACCUGGGAACGGCAUCCGGAACUGUCAGGCUAGAGUGCAGGAGAGGAAGGUAGAAUUCCCGGUGUAGCGGUGAAAUGCGUAGAGAUCGGGAGGAAUACCAGUGGCGAAGGCGGCCUUCUGGACUGACACUGACGCUGAGGUGCGAAAGCGUGGGUAGCAAACAGGAUUAGAUACCCUAGUAGUC
rnacentral:rRNA from 1 species